GAACAGCUGAGGAGUCCCACAAUAGGACGAAACGGCCGUUCAGUGC
rnacentral:hammerhead_ribozyme from 1 species